UACGAAGGGGGCAAGCGUUGUUCGGAAUUACUGGGCGUAAAGGGCGCGUAGGCGGCUUAUCAAGUCAGGCGUGAAAUUCCCGGGCUCAACCUGGGGGCUGCGCUUGAUACUGAUUGGCUUGAAUGCGGGAGAGGAUAGUGGAAUUCCCAGUGUAGAGGUGAAAUUCGUAGAUAUUGGGAAGAACACCGGUGGCGAAGGCGGCUAUCUGGCCCGUAAUUGACGCUGAGGCGCGAAAGCGUGGGGAGCAAACAGG
rnacentral:rRNA from 1 species